AUGAACGCUGGCGGCGUGGAUAAGGCAUGCAAGUCGGACGAUUUCCUUUUUUGAAGAAGAUGCGAUUACAUCAAGUCAACUGAUAUUUUGGAGAUAGUGGCGAACGAGCUAGUAACACCUUGGUACGUACCCAAAAGUUUGGUAUAGCUCGCCGAAAGGCGGGGUAAUCCCAAAUAAUCCCUCUAUCUAUCGGAUAGAAGGGUAAAGUCGCAAGACGCUUUUGGAGCGGCCUAGGACCGAUCAGUUAGUUGGUGAGGUAAUGGCUCACCAAGACGAUGACCGGUAGG
rnacentral:rRNA from 1 species